rnacentral:rRNA from 1 species
CUGGCGGCGUGCCUAAUACAUGCAAGUCGAACGGUCUUUCUAUGGAAGCUUGCUCCACUGAGAAGAUAGUGGCGAACGGGUGAGUAACACGUGGGUAACCUGCCCAUAAGAGGGGGAUAACAUCCGGAAACGGGUGCUAAUACCGCAUAGUUUUCUUGAUCGCAUGAUUGAGAAAGGAAAGACGGCCUUUGUGCUGUCGCUUAUGGAUGGACCCGCGGCGUAUUAGUUAGUUGGUGAGGUAACGGCUCACCAAGACGAUGAUACGUAGCCGACCUGAGAGGGUGAUCGGCCACAUUGGGACUGAGACACGGCCCAAACUCCUACGGGAGGCAGCAGUAGGGAAUCUUCCGCAAUGGACGAAAGUCUGACGGAGCAACGCCGCGUGAGUGAAGAAAGGUUUUCGGAUCGUAAAACUCUGUUGUCAGAGAAGAACAAGUUGGAGAGUAACUGCUCCAGCCUUGACGGUAUCUGACCAGAAAGCCACGGCUAACUACGUGCCAGCAGCCGC